rnacentral:rRNA from 1 species
GACGAACGCUGGCGGCGUGCUUAACACAUGCAAGUCGAGCGGAAAGGCCACUUCGGUGGUACUCGAGCGGCGAACGGGUGAGUAACACGUGAGUAAUCUGCCCCUGGCUUUGGGAUAGCCACCGGAAACGGUGAUUAAUACCGGAUAUGACACAUUCUCGCAUGAGUUUGUGUGGAAAGUUUUUCGGCCAGGGAUGUGCUCGCGGCCUAUCAGCUUGAUGGUGAGGUAAUGCUCACCAUGGCUUCGACGGGUAGCCGGCCUGAGAGGGUGACCGGUCACACUGGGACUGAGACACGGCCCAGACUCCUACGGGAGGCAGCAGUGGGGAAUAUUGGACAAUGGGCGGAAGCCUGAUCCAGCAACGCCGCGUGAGGGAUGACGGCCUUCGGGUUGUAAACCUCUUUCAGUACCGACGAAGCGCAAGUGACGGUAGGUACAGAAGAAGCACCGGCCAACUACGUG